rnacentral:rRNA from 1 species
GACAGAGGCCUCAAGCGUUAGGCGGAAUCACUGGGCUUAAAGCGUGUGUAGGCGGAUCGUUAAGUGUCUUGUGAAAUCCCACGGCUCACCCGUGGAACUGCUGGGCAUACUGGCGAUCUUGGGCCAACUAGGGGCAGUCGGAACAAGCGGUGGAGCGGUGAAAUGCGUAGAUAUCGCUUGGAACGCCGAAGGUGAAAACAGACUGCUGGGGUUGCGCCGACGCUGAGACACGAAAGCCAGGGGAGCAAACGGG